CGGGACACGUGGUAUCCUGUCUGAAUAUGGGGGGACCAUCCUCCAAGGCUAAAUACUCCUGACUGACCGAUAGUGAACCAGUACCGUGAGGGAAAGGCGAAAAGAACCCCGGCGAGGGGAGUGAAAAAGAACCUGAAACCGUGUACGUACAAGCAGUGGGAGCACGCUUAGGCGUGUGACUGCGUACCUUUUGUAUAAUGGGUCAGCGACUUAUAUUCUGUAGCAAGGUUAACCGAAUAGGGGAGCCGAAGGGAAACCGAGUCUUAACUGGGCGUUAAGUUGCAGGGUAUAGACCCGAAACCCGGUGAUCUAGCCAUGGGCAGGUUGAAGGUUGGGUAACACUAACUGGAGGACCGAACCGACUAAUGUUGAAAAAUUAGCGGAUGACUUGUGGCUGGGGGUGAAAGGCCAAUCAAACCGGGAGAUAGCUGGUUCUCCCCGAAAGCUAUUUAGGUAGCGCCUCGUGAAUUCAUCUCCGGGGGUAGAGCACUGUUUCGGCAAGGGGGUCAUCCCGACUUACCAACCCGAUGCAAACUGCGAAUACCGGAGAAUGUUAUCACGGGAGACACACGGCGGGUGCUAACGUCCGUCGUGAAGAGGGAAACAACCCAGACCGCCAGCUAAGGUCCCAAAGUCAUGGUUAAGUGGGAAACGAUGUGGGAAGGCCCAGACAGCCAGGAUGUUGGCUUAGAAGCAGCCAUCAUUUAAAGAAAGCGUAAUAGCUCACUGGUCGAGUCGGCCUGCGCGGAAGAUGUAACGGGGCUAAACCAUGCACCGAAGCUGCGGCAGCGACACUAUGUGUUGUUGGGUAGGGGAGCGUUCUGUAAGCCUGUGAAGGUGUACUGUGAGGUAUGCUGGAGGUAUCAGAAGUGCGAAUGCUGACAUAAGUAACGAUAAAGCGGGUGAAAAGCCCGCUCGCCGGAAGACCAAGGGUUCCUGUCCAACGUUAAUCGGGGCAGGGUGAGUCGACCCCUAAGGCGAGGCCGAAAGGCGUAGUCGAUGGGAAACAGGUUAAUAUUCCUGUACUUGGUGUUACUGCGAAGGGGGGACGGAGAAGGCUAUGUUGGCCGGGCGACGGUUGUCCCGGUUUAAGCGUGUAGGCUGGUUUUCCAGGCAAAUCCGGAAAAUCAAGGCUGAGGCGUGAUGACGAGGCACUACGGUGCUGAAGCAACAAAUGCCCUGCUUCCAGGAAAAGCCUCUAAGCAUCAGGUAACAUCAAAUCGUACCCCAAACCGACACAGGUGGUCAGGUAGAGAAUACCAAGGCGCUUGAGAGAACUCGGGUGAAGGAACUAGGCAAAAUGGUGCCGUAACUUCGGGAGAAGGCACGCUGAUAUGUAGGUGAAGUCCCUCGCGGAUGGAGCUGAAAUCAGUCGAAGAUACCAGCUGGCUGCAACUGUUUAUUAAAAACACAGCACUGUGCAAACACGAAAGUGGACGUAUACGGUGUGACGCCUGCCCGGUGCCGGAAGGUUAAUUGAUGGGGUUAGCGCAAGCGAAGCUCUUGAUCGAAGCCCCGGUAAACGGCGGCCGUAACUAUAACGGUCCUAAGGUAGCGAAAUUCCUUGUCGGGUAAGUUCCGACCUGCACGAAUGGCGUAAUGAUGGCCAGGCUGUCUCCACCCGAGACUCAGUGAAAUUGAACUCGCUGUGAAGAUGCAGUGUACCCGCGGCAAGACGGAAAGACCCCGUGAACCUUUACUAUAGCUUGACACUGAACAUUGAGCCUUGAUGUGUAGGAUAGGUGGGAGGCUUUGAAGUGUGGACGCCAGUCUGCAUGGAGCCGACCUUGAAAUACCACCCUUUAAUGUUUGAUGUUCUAACGUUGACCCGUGAUCCGGGUUGCGGACAGUGUCUGGUGGGUAGUUUGACUGGGGCGGUCUCCUCCUAAAGAGUAACGGAGGAGCACGAAGGUUGGCUAAUCCUGGUCGGACAUCAGGAGGUUAGUGCAAUGGCAUAAGCCAGCUUGACUGCGAGCGUGACGGCGCGAGCAGGUGCGAAAGCAGGUCAUAGUGAUCCGGUGGUUCUGAAUGGAAGGGCCAUCGCUCAACGGAUAAAAGGUACUCCGGGGAUAACAGGCUGAUACCGCCCAAGAGUUCAUAUCGACGGCGGUGUUUGGCACCUCGAUGUCGGCUCAUCACAUCCUGGGGCUGAAGUAGGUCCCAAGGGUAUGGCUGUUCGCCAUUUAAAGUGGUACGCGAGCUGGGUUUAGAACGUCGUGAGACAGUUCGGUCCCUAUCUGCCGUGGGCGCUGGAGAACUGAGGGGGGCUGCUCCUAGUACGAGAGGACCGGAGUGGACGCAUCACUGGUGUUCGGGUUGUCAUGCCAAUGGCACUGCCCGGUAGCUAAAUGCGGAAGAGAUAAGUGCUGAAAGCAUCUAAGCACGAAACUUGCC
rnacentral:rRNA from 1 species